AUGUUCAUGAUUGCAAACCCAAUGGGUCCGGAGCUCCGAAGAAGUGGUAUACUUCUAUUGCAACUCACCAUAAAAUCCAAGGGACCACAAGAUCUUCCCGCCUCUAUGUCAGCGAGCCAGAAUGGAUCGGAGACUGUGAGAUUGCCGCACCUCUUCUUAGCUGAGCAGCCUCCCCCGUGCUCCUCCUUUGCCGUCACAGGCACCAAUGGCACCGACGAAAGCAAGACGAAGACUAAGGCCCUGUUCGGAGACCCGCCACUCCACCACUCCGCUUCCGGAGCUGGAGUUAAAAAGUACGGAGCUAGUAAACGGAUGCUCCAGCUCCUCGUAUUUUUAGGAGCUGGAGUGACUCCGAACAGGGCCUAA
rnacentral:rRNA from 1 species